rnacentral:rRNA from 1 species
UACGUAGGGUGCGAGCGUUAAUCGGAAUUACUGGGCGUAAAGCGUGCGCAGGCGGCGCGUUAAGACAGGUGUGAAAGCCCCGAGCUUAACUUGGGAAUUGCGCUUGUGACUGGCGUGCUGGAGUGUGGCAGAGGGAGGUGGAAUUCCACGUGUAGCAGUGAAAUGCGUAGAGAUGUGGGGGAACACCGAUGGCGAAGGCAGCCUCCUGGGCCAGCACUGACGCUCAUGCACGAAAGCGUGGGGAGCAAACGGG